GGAAACCACCUACAAAAUGAAAAGACAACCUGACAAUUGAGAGAAGAUAUUGUCAAACCGUAUAUUUGAGUAAAAUGAAUUCUCUUGAGAAGUCUGGGAAGAAUAAGCAAUGAAAGAUAGAAUUUCCAUGGUCCUCAGAAAGUAAUAUCAUCCAGGCGAAGUAAUAUUUAUUACCCAACCAUCAUUUCUUCUGGAACACAUAUCAAAUAAGCUGUCCUGGGGGAGACAUGAGGCUGUAGGAAAAAGCAAAGAAAAAUCAAAUCGAUUUCUUAGACUGGGACAUGGAGACCACUUUCAGAGGCUUCAGAAGGUGAGAACAAAGCACUGACUUGUCCUCAGGAAAAACCAUAAGGUUGAUGGAUCCGAAUGACGCCUGUACAACUAAAGCCAGAGCAGGAAGGAAGUCCCUGGAAAGAGAAAUUUUAUUACUUCCUCACUUCAUAUUGAAAAAAUUGAGAAAGUACAACUUAUCUCAGCAGGCGCAGAAUAAUUGCCAAUUCUCCUCAGAUAGUAAAACCCAACUUAUUCAUCAAAAACAAGUAAGGCCAGGGCCAGCCUGGUGGUGUAGCAGGUUUUGCCUUUUGCCUUUGGAGGUGGUUCAAAUGGAAACAGCUGUAAUCAAUUAAGAUGCGGUGAUUUCAGAUAACCCACUCUCUUUCUUUACAUGGUGACUGGUUAUCCAACCAGGGGCUGGUGAUAAAAGUGUGCUUAAGAGAAAUAAAUUAGUAGCGGUAGAUUUGUCUGGAUAAGUUGAAGCCGGUAUCAGUCAUACCUGAUUUUGACUGCAUCUCAGCCAUAGGAAUAAAAAAUGAAGUUUUAUGAUAAAAUCAGUCAAUACACUUUUUUUCAUGAAAUAAACUAAAAAGUUACUGACAACACCCAAUCACUUGUCACAUUAGCCCAGAACCAUUUACUAUGAUACUUUUCACUAUAGGAAUGAUUGAUAGAAAAUCUCUAUCAUACACAAUAAUGUUCCAGACCUAGCAAUCCUUUUACAGCCUGUCAUUGUCCCCAGGAUCCUUUCCAAAUUUUUUUUAACAGGACUUACAAUGCUCUUUGUGACAAGAUGUAAU
rnacentral:lncRNA from 1 species